UCGAAAUGCGGCAUGAUAUAAAUAUCAAAACGACAUGUUUUUAUUUUGGAACAUUUAAAAAAGAAAAGAACGAGGAGGGAAGAGGAGACGAGGCUCUAGUGAAACACGACGAACGAGACUUACUCCUGGGCUUCGCUGUUGUUGGCGCAACGACAAACACCUCCGCUACACUCGCACGCGUCUUAGCAUUAGCAGGCUCAAUUACUGGAAUGUCUAGAGGCUUUUUCACCGUUGGAAAUGGCUUCGGCACUGGGAUAGGAAUUGGCUUAACAAUUGGAACAGGCUUAAUUACUGAAAUAGGUUGAGGCAUUUUUAAUAUUGCCUUAACACUUGAAAUUGGCUUUGGUAUAGGCUUCUGUUAGGAAAAAUUCAAGUGUUGCCUACAGAUUAUUAAAAAGAGUCACCCAUCAUUUAUCCACUUGCUAGGGAUGUCCACAAAACUAUUUAAAACUAAACUUUUUAAAUAACUAAACUAAACUAAAAUAAACUAAAUUAUUUUUUAAUAGUUUAAACCAAACUAUUAUUUUUAGUGUAGUUUAUAAAGCUAAACUAUUAAAAUUAAUAAUUCAGUUCACUAAAACUAAAUUCAAGCACUGAAUCCAAACACAUUUACGGAAACUAAAUCCAAACACAUUCACGGAGAGUUACCAGACUACAACGUUCGCCGAUCGGACUCGCGGAGACGUAGGUGGGUCUUCCAAUUUUGCUUCAAUCUUCACUUCUCAAGGAUGGUUCUUCACUUCUUCUGAUUCUUCUUCACUUCUUUCGAUUCUUCUUCAUUCUUCUUCAUUCUUCACCCUUGAUUGUGUGACAAACUCGCAGGUGGGUCUUCGGAUUCCUCUUCACUUUUCACUUUUACUGGGUUAUUUGAUUUUGACUGAACUAUUGGGUGUUUCUGUUCAAUUUGGGUUUGAGCUGCAUAAGUAAAGAAAUAUUUUUGUUGCUUGCACUCCAUGUGUUUGAUAAUUUGUAGGCAAUUUGCUAGACUUCAAUUCCCUGCAUUAUGAGUGAUCCAAUGGUCUAGUUUAGAAGUAAAGGGUCACAUUCAUAGACUAGCAUCAAACACAUUCAUAGAAAUGAAUUGCGUCAUGAACGGUAUGCUAUCCAUGUUAACCCGGAGAAAAGCUGCAGGCGAAGGGCUUGCACAUGGUACAGUUCAUUCUUCUCUCAUUAGCUUUCCUGUGUGCUCUAGAUUCUUAUUCUUUCAUUUCUGCCUUUUGGGUUGUGUUAGAAAUUGUAAAUGUUUGAAGCAAUUCUCAAUAGUUGUAGACAGAUGGUUUCUCUAAUGCAACAUCAGGGAAAGAAAUUGUUUUGCUCACUGAUGAAUAUGUAUAAUGUUGAGACAGUAUCUACUAGACAAGGUUACAUUUACACUGGAAUAUGUUGCAGCUAAUGGUUGAUGGAAAAUUGAGGGUAUAGAUAAGGCCAACGUUGCUUAUGGUCAUCCUAGAUUGCUUUGUAGAACUUGAUGCUGUGUUUAACUUUGAUUAAAUUUGUGAAAGUUUAAAUCACAAUAUAUUAAGAAUCAGGUCUUUCUACUAGGCAACUUUGUCUAACCAGAUUGAGUUAGUGCAGUAGUAUAAAGGGGGGAGGUGUUGGGGAGUUUAAGUUAUUUUGUUGGGUCUAGAGAGUGUAUUAAUGAUUUGAGGGAGGGAUAGUUGUGAUACUUCAAGAGGUUCCCAUCAACUAAACAAAUACAGUUAAACCUUCAUUGAGCCUUUUAAUAGUAGAGAAACUUGUGGUUACUGGUUGUAUUGUAUGUGAAAUUAAAUUAGCAAUAUUUGGAAAUUUAAGUGAACCAUACUCAAGUAUGGAGCUUUAGGCUGUUUAAGGUGCAUUUUUUAGGGGUGAUUGUGUAGUAGCAGGGUUAAUAAUAAAGUGAAAAACAGGCAUUAUCUACUCUGUUUUUGGACAAGUAUGAUGUAGAGUAUGAAAAAA